CUCCUCGUACGACAGAUGAUUUGUUGUGCUUCAUUUCAAAGUCUGUGCUGUGUACACUAUCAACUUCUGAGAAGGGUGUUAAGUGAAGACUUGGUUGAAGUUCUAUGCUUGUCUCCUGCUUUCUCACAAUCUCAGAAGGCAGAGAAUGAGGACAGAUACACGUCACACACUGGGGAGGAUUGCACCACACAAUCUUCAGCACAACCUGUGUGGUUCUGCUUAUAAAUCCAGGAUUAAGACUUUCUAUAACCACUUAAGAAGGUGCAGACCCAUUGUACAGAAGCACACAUCUACAGAGGAAC